CUCGUAGGCGGCUCAACAAGUCGGCCGUGAAAACCCAGGGCUCAACCCUGGGACGCCGGUCGAUACUGUUGUGGCUUGGGUCCGGUAGAGGAGAAUGGAAUUCCCAGUGUAGCGGUGAAAUGCGCAGAUAUCGGGAGGAACACCAGUAGCGAAGGCGGUUCUCUGGGCCGGUACCGACGCUGAGGAGCGAAAGCGUGGGGAGCAAACA
rnacentral:rRNA from 1 species